rnacentral:rRNA from 1 species
GUUGGGUAGGGGAGCGUUCUGUAAGCCGUUGAAGGUGACCUGUGAGGGUUGCUGGAGGUAUCAGAAGUGCGAAUGCUGACAUAAGUAACGAUAAUGCGGGUGAAAAACCCGCACGCCGGAAGACCAAGGGUUCCUGUCCAACGUUAAUCGGGGCAGGGUGAGUCGACCCCUAAGGCGAGGCUGAAAAGCGUAGUCGAUGGGAAACAGGUUAAUAUUCCUGUACUUGGUGUUACUGCGAAGGGGGGACGGAGAAGGCUAGGCUAGCCGGGCGACGGUUGUCCCGGUUUAAGCAUGUAGGCGGAGCGACUUGGUAAAUCCGGUUGCUUAUCAACGCUGAGGUGUGAUGACGAGCCACUACGGUGGUGAAGUAGUUGAUGCCAAGCUUCCAGGAAAAGCCUCUAAGCAUCAGGUAACAUUAAAUCGUACCCCAAACCGACACAGGUGGUCAGGUAGAGAAUACUCAGGCGCUUGAGAGAACUCGGGUGAAGGAACUAGGCAAAAUGGUGCCGUAACUUCGGGAGAAGGCACGCUGGCAUUAGGUAAAGGGACUUGCUCCCGGCGCCGAAGCCAGUCGCAGAUACCAGCUGGCUGCAACUGUUUAAUAAAAACACAGCACUGUGCAAACACGAAAGUGGACGUAUACGGUGUGACGCCUGCCCGGUGCUGGAAGGUUAAUUGAUGGGGUCAGCCGCAAGGCGAAGCUCUUGAUCGAAGCCCCAGUAAACGGCGGCCGUAACUAUAACGGUCCUAAGGUAGCGAAAUUCCUUGUCGGGUAAGUUCCGACCUGCACGAAUGGCGUAAUGAUGGCCAGGCUGUCUCCACCCGAGACUCAGUGAAAUUGAACUCGCUGUGAAGAUGCAGUGUACCCGCGGCAAGACGGAAAGACCCCGUGAACCUUUACUAUAGCUUGACACUGAACAUUGAGCCUUGAUGUGUAGGAUAGGUGGGAGGCAUCGAAGUGUGGACGCCAGUCUGCAUGGAGCCAACCUUGAAAUACCACCCUUUAAUGUUUGAUGUUCUAACUCGGCCCCAUAAUCUGGGGUGAGGACAGUGUCUGGUGGGUAGUUUGACUGGGGCGGUCUCCUCCCAAAGAGUAACGGAGGAGCACGAAGGUUAGCUAAUCACGGUCGGACAUCGUGAGGUUAGUGCAAAGGCAUAAGCUAGCUUGACUGCGAGAGUGACGGCUCGAGCAGGUACGAAAGUAGGUCUUAGUGAUCCGGUGGUUCUGAAUGGAAGGGCCAUCGCUCAACGGAUAAAAGGUACUCCGGGGAUAACAGGCUGAUACCGCCCAAGAGUUCAUAUCGACGGCGGUGUUUGGCACCUCGAUGUCGGCUCAUCACAUCCUGGGGCUGAAGUAGGUCCCAAGGGUAUGGCUGUUCGCCAUUUAAAGUGGUACGCGAGCUGGGUUUAGAACGUCGUGAGACAGUUCGGUCCCUAUCUGCCGUGGGCGUUGGAAGAUUGAGAGGGGCUGCUCCUAGUACGAGAGGACCGGAGUGGACGAAUCACUGGUGUUCGGGUUGUCAUGCCAAUGGCAUUGCCCGGUAGCUAAAUUCGGAAGAGAUAACCGCUGAAAGCAUCUAAGCGGGAAACUUGCCUCGAGAUGAGUCUUCCCUGGGGCUUUAAGCCCCCUGAAGGAACGUUAAAGACUAUGACGUUGAUAGGCUGGGUGUGUAAGUGCAGCGAUGCAUUGAGCUAACCAGUACUAAUGAUCCGUGAGGCUUAACC